UACAGAGGACUCAAGCGUUGUUCGGAUUCAUUGGGAGUAAAGGGUGCGUAGGCGGCGCGGUAAGUCGGGUGUGAAAUUUCGGAGCUUAACUCCGAAACUGCAUUCGAUACUGCCGUGCUUGAGGACUGGAGAGGAGACUGGAAUUUACGGUGUAGCAGUGAAAUGCGUAGAGAUCGUAAGGAAGACCAGUGGCGAAGGCGGGUCUCUGGACAGUUCCUGACACUGAGGCACGAAGGCCAGGGGAGCAAACGGG
rnacentral:rRNA from 1 species